rnacentral:rRNA from 1 species
UACGGAGGGAGCUAGCGUUGUUCGGAUAUACUGGGCGUAAAGCGCACGUAGGCGGCGCCGUAAGUCAGGUGUGAAAUCUCGGGGCUUAACUCCGAAACUGCAUUCGAUACUGGCGUGCUUGAGGACUGGAGAGGAGACUGGAAUUCAUGGUGUAGCAGUGAAAUGCGUAGAGAUCAUGAGGAAGACCAGUGGCGAAGGCGGGUCUCUGGACAGUUCCUGACACUGAGACACGAAGGCCAGGGGAGCAAACGGG